UUUUCGCACUCUGGAGAGCGGCAGUAGCGCCCGUGCACUAACCCGCACGCGCAGGCUGCCCACCGAAGGGGCGCGCGCCACGCCGGACAGCACUCGCUGACGGCAGCGCAAUCUCUCAGGUAUCGAGGACAGAGGGGGCAUG
rnacentral:ncRNA from 2 species